CACGUAGGGCGCGAGCGUUGUCCGGAAUUAUUGGGCGUAAAGAGCUCGUAGGCGGCCUGUUGCGUCCGCUGUGAAAGCCCGGGGCUUAACCCCGGGUCGGCAGUGGAUACGGGCAGGCUAGAGGUAGGUAGGGGAGAAUGGAAUUCCCGGUGUAGCGGUGAAAUGCGCAGAUAUCAGGAGGAACACCAAUGGCGAAGGCAGCUCGCUGGGACGGUACUGACGCUGAGACGCGAAAGCGUGGGGAGCGAACAGG
rnacentral:rRNA from 1 species